rnacentral:rRNA from 1 species
UACGGAGGAUCCGAGCGUUAUCCGGAUUUAUUGGGUUUAAAGGGUGCGUAGGCGGCUUUUUAAGUCAGGGGUGAAAGACGGUAGCUUAACUAUCGCAGUGCCCUUGAUACUGAAGAGCUUGAAUGUAGUUGAGGUAGGCGGAAAUGUGACAAGUAGCGGUGAAAAUGCAUAGAUAUGUCACAGAACACCAAUUGCGAAGGCAGCUUACUAAAGUAUGAUUGACGCUGAGGCACGAAAGCGUGGGGAUCAAACAGG